ensembl:lncRNA
GGACAGACAACCAUUCGCACUCACAUAUUCACACCUAGUGGCAAUUUGGAUUUUCCAAUUAACCUAUCCCCACAAGCUGCAUGUCUUUGGACGGUGGGAGGAAGCCGGAGUACCCGGAGGGAACCCACGCAAACACGGGGAGAACAUGCAAACUCCACACAGAAAGACCCCGGCCUGAUGGUGGAAUUGAACUCAGGACCUUCUUGCUGUGCGGCAACAGUGCUAACCACCGUUCCACCGUGCUGCCUAGUGUCCUCAUAUCAGUACCAAUAAAUGUCUUGAUGCAUGCUCAGUCAUCCAGGUAAGUAAAUCCCAAAAGGUUGAUUCUGUUCAUCUGGACGUAGCGUUUUUAAUGAUCAAGGAACUGACCUCACAGCCCACUGCUCAUUCAGUGGGCUAGUUUCAUGCAAACCUGCAGUCAGCUGAGACUGAAGAAGUCACUUGGAUGAGUGACGAAACGUUUCUCCCACUGAAAACGCUAAAUCCAGAUGAACAGAAUCAAGCUUUUGGGAGUACCAAUGAAGAAAAAUAAUAGAUGUUGGGAUGGACUUGGUAGCUGGAGGCUCUAACGAAAGGGAAUGAAAAGAAACACAGGCUACGUCCAAACUAGCCCGAAUAAAUUUGAAAACUGCGUUUUCGUCUGAAAACGCUCCGCGUCCACAAUAGCGUUUUCAUUUGUUUUCACACAGUUGUUCGUCCACAUUCAAACGGCUGAAAACGCUUACGUUUCAGUUCUGCGCAUGCGUGUAAAGUAAGACGAUUCGGCCUGCCUCAUUUCUGUCUGCCGUUUAUUUGCUUUCCGGCUCUUCGAAAUGUGGCGGCAAAAUGUUGAGGAAAAGAACCGAGUUUUUUAAAUGGUGUAACAAUGAGGUGGAGUUGUUGCUGCGAGUAACACAAAAGUAAAAAGUUGGAAAAGCGAGUGAGAAUUAAAUAAUUUGAAGAAAAGCUAUCUGGAGCAUGUACAGACUAGUAUUAAUCUUUAAUAGGGCUGUCAAAAUUCAGAGCAAACAAAACAACUGCUUUAUAAUGCCCUCUGCUAGCUUACUUUAAUUGGUCACAUGACUGCAUCACAGGACUAACAGGCGUCAUUGUUUUCAAAAGUCUGUGUUUUUGCUGUCCACACUGCGACGCGAAAGCUCCGUUUUCAAAUGUAUGCAUUUUCAAGAGCAUUUUCAAAACGCUGCGUUUUCCUAGAGCGAAAACGCCAUCUCAGUGUGGAUGGGAGGCCAAAACGGAGAGAAAGCGAUGCAUUUUCGUUUGAAAACGGGUUAGUGUGGACAUGGCCACAGACACUAUAAGUCACUUCACACCCAGAGUGCUGGUCAAUAAAAGAAGUGUGAAAAAGCAGGGCCACAACCAGAGAGGCCACGCUGCUAUUGGCUCCAUCUUCUGUAGCCAAAUCCAGCAACUAAAAAGGAUCAAACAAAAUGAUUAGUAGUUACAAGAGCUGGACUUUAUAGUUUUACAGUGUCCAUAAUGCUUUGUCCAACCAUCAGCAGACUGAGCCCAACCGGAGCAACAUGAACAAACUUUAUCAUGGUUUGUUGAUUGGAUCUUUAGUACAUGGUGCAUUAAAGUGACAAACCUAAUUUACUCAUGUGUUAUAAUCUUUUCUUCUUAAAGCACGUUCACAUUGUCAGUUUUAUGUCAGUUCAAUGAAACUAAAUCUAAAUUACACUGAUGACACAGAACAAAUUGCCACAGAGGAAAAAACAGUCAUGCUUCUUUUUUAGCAUCUUUAUUUUUAGUGGCAAUAUUCUUCACAGGCAGAGCCGUCAGUCUUGCUUGGAUGAAGCCAUACUUCUUUGGAUCAUAUCCAAAAGGGUCUUCACUCCACUUUCACUACUGAGAAGUUCUUCUAGAAGGCUGAGCUCUUCAGAGUUGAGUCUGUUUGUGGUUCCAUCAGUGAAAUUUGUUUCUGGGGCAAGAGAUGGAUCUGGGCACAAACCUGUGAAGAUGACAUUUGUGAAUGCCUUUAAUUUAUGAGAGGAGAAAUGAAUUGAAUCUACAAUUGUUCCAACCAUGGUGGUAUAAAAAUAAUGACAACACUAAACUGAAGGUGUAACAUUUAGUUCAGCUGCAGUUUCUUUGUGUAACUGAAGUCGAUUGACAAACCGUAAUCUGCUACUGACUACUGCGUUUUCUUUAUUCUUCAGGGCACAUACAGAUGUGGCUUUAAGACUUUCAUAUUAAGUAGACGUUCAUACCCUUUUCCGAGUCCAUGAUAGCAGGUGGUUGUAGGUUCAGACACUCUGCCUGCUUUGUAAACUCUUCCAGCUCAGCUGCAGACACCCUAACUCUCCUACCUGAGAGACAGGAAAAGUGUUAGCACUGGAGGCUCAUGUGAGGGCAGUACGAUGGCACAGAAGUAUUUAAGUUAUCAAAAAUAAAAUUACAUCAGGGACAAUUUUCAAACAUUAGUGCAUCAAUAUUUUGUUUUGUGUGUUUAAGGAAGGUAUUUUAGUACAAUUAUGUACAGUGAAAAAAUAUUUGGCUUCUUACUGAUUUCUUAGUUUUUUGCAUAUUUGUCACAUUUCAAUGUUUCAGAUCAUCAACCAAAUCUGAAUAUUACUCAAAGAAACAUAAUUAAAUACAAAAUGCUCUUUUAAAAUUAUGUUUUUAUUUCUUAAGUGAAAAAGUUCCUGUGCGGCGGAAAAGCACAUUUUUCAGUUUUCAGAUUUUUUUACUUUUUUCACAGAGUUUAAAAUUUUGCCUUUAACUGUUAUUUGGAUGUCCUCAUCCUGACGGCAGUAUUUGGAAACUACAAUUAUUUAUUUAAAGACCUGGAGAAGUGGAAACGACUGUUAAUCAUUGUUUUGAUGUUGUUUUAAAUUUGGAAAUUAGUCACCAGCAUCUCUUUCAGCUUUAAUAAAUUAAAUGCAUGAAGUUGGACCAUGAAAAAAUACUUAAGUACUUUGACAUUACAGUAUUUAGGUGUGUCAUUGUUCUUACUCAGGAGCUUGAGAGCUCUGACUUCGAUUCUUCCCACGGUCAUAUUUGAGUAGAUCACAAGGCAGUCAGGGCAGCCAGUAUUCAGCAGGCCAGCAGACACUCGGUAAGGGUGCACUAUGGACAUGAGCAAAUACACACCAAUUGAUAUAUAUUGAAAGUGUUGUGGCACAAAGUCUAAAUCUGGUCAUACAAAUGUUUGUUCCCUCAGUAAUACUCACAUCUAGUGAGAGUGUUGUUAACCAAAGUCAAUUUCUCUGUCAAUGUGAAGCACUUGCCCAUCCUUUUAGAAGAUAAAAUUAGAGAGAUUUUUACAUUAAUAUUAUUUGAAAACAGUGUCAGUUCAGGAAGAACAUGAUCCUGUUUAUUACUUUUUUAGAAUUUGGAGACUGUGAAAUGUAUCGACUUCACUGGCAGCGGUGAUCUUCCCCCAGGAAUUUUCCAUAAGCGUCUGUACCAGCAUUUUGAAACCAGGUAUGCUUCUACUAUCUCCUAGUAGUACCCAUUUGCCCAGCAGCUGAAACAGACAGUAUUAGGUGUAUAAGACAACAAACAUUUCAUAUCGAAAAUUUUAAAAAAGAAAAAACUAGAGAAAUGACGUAAUAGAGGGUCUGACCUGAUUUCCGUGGAUUUCACGAGGCUGGAUUAGAUUCUCACAGCUUGUCACAGGAGCUGAGUGUCCAAGAGACAGAAGACCGAGCACAGCUACAGCAACGUGAACAAACUCCAUCAUGGCUCAUCUGCUGAUAGUGUGGCUUCAGACUUUAAAUGUGUUUUAGACAUACGAGACUCAGCCCAUUUUAGGUGAAGUAUUGCUCAAUUGUUUACUUAUGUGUUGUAAUUGUACUUAGAAGAACAUAACAGAAAUAUUUACUCUGUGGCAG